rnacentral:rRNA from 1 species
AUUGAACGCUGGCGGAAUGCUUUACACAUGCAAGUCGAACGGCAGCACGGACUUCGGUCUGGUGGCGAGUGGCGAACGGGUGAGUAAUACAUCGGAACGUGCCCAGUCGUGGGGGAUAACGUAGCGAAAGCUACGCUAAUACCGCAUACGAUCUAAGGAUGAAAGCGGGGGAUCGCAAGACCUCGCGCGAUUGGAGCGGCCGAUGGCAGAUUAGGUAGUUGGUAGGGUAAAGGCCUACCAAGCCGACGAUCGGUAGCUGGUCUGAGAGGACGACCAGCCACACUGGGACUGAGACACGGCCCAGACUCCUACGGGAGGCAGCAGUGGGGAAUUUUGGACAAUGGACGCAAGUCUGAUCCAGCCAUUCCGCGUGCAGGAUGAAGGCCCUCGGGUUGUAAACUGCUUUUGUACAGAACGAAAAGGCUCUGGUUAAUACCUGGAGCACAUGACGGUACUGUAAGAAUAAGCACCGGUUAACUACGUGCCAGCCGCCGCAGUAA